rnacentral:rRNA from 1 species
CUGAUACUGGCAAGCUUGAGUCUCGUAGAGGGGGGUAGAAUUCCAGGUGUAGCGGUGAAAUGCGUAGAGAUCUGGAGGAAUACCGGUGGCGAAGGCGGCCCCCUGGACGAAGACUGACGCUCAGGUGCGAAAGCGUGGGGAGCAAACAGGAUUAGAUACCCUGGUAGUCCACGCCGUAAACGAUGUCGACUUGGAGGUUGUGCCCUUGAGGCGUGGCUUCCGGAGCUAACGCGUUAAGUCGACCGCCUGGGGAGUACGGCCGCAAGGUUAAAACUCAAAUGAAUUGACGGGGGCCCGCACAAGCGGUGGAGCAUGUGGUUUAAUUCGAUGCAACGCGAAGAACC